GAUGAACGCUGGCGGCGUGCCUAAUACAUGCAAGUCGAGCGAACGGACGAGAAGCUUGCUUCUCUGAUGUUAGCGGCGGACGGGUGAGUAACACGUGGAUAACCUACCUAUAAGACUGGGAUAACUUCGGGAAACCGUAGCUAAUACCGGAUAAUAUUUUGAACCCCAUGGUUCAAAAGUGAAAGACGGUCUUGCUGUCACUUAUAGAUGGAUCCGCGCUGCAUUAGCUAGUUGGUAAGGUAACGGCUUACCAAGGCAACGAUGCAUAGCCGACCUGAGAGGGUGAUCGGCCACACUGGAACUGAGACACGGUCCAGACUCCUACGGGAGGCAGCAGUAGGGAAUCUUCCGCAAUGGGCGAAAGCCUGACGGAGCAACGCCGCGUGAGUGAUGAAGGUCUUCGGAUCGUAAAACUCUGUUAUUAGGGAAGAACAUAUGUGUAAGUAACUGUGCACAUCUUGACGGUACCUAAUCAGAAAGCCACGGCUAACUACGUG
rnacentral:rRNA from 1 species